ACUACGGGUGGCAGCAGUGGGGGAUAUUGGACAAUGGGGGGAACCCUGAUCCAGCGACGCCGCAUGAGUGAAGAAGUAUUUCGGUAUGUAAAGCUCUGUCAGCAGGGAAGAAAGAAAUGACGGUACCUGACCAAGAAGCCCCGGCUAACUACGUGCCAGCAGCCGCGGUAAUACGUAGGGGGCAAGCGUUAUCCGGAAUUACUGGGUGUAAAGGGAGCGUAGACGGUUAAGUAAGUCUGGAGUGAAAGGCCGGGGCCCAACCCCGGGACUGCUCUGGAAACUAUUGAACUUGAGUGCAGGAGAGGUAAGCGGAAUUCCUAGUGUAGCGGUGAAAUGCGUAGAUAUUAGGAGGAACACCAGUGGCGAAGGCGGCUUACUGGACUGUAACUGACGUUGAGGCUCGAAAGCGUGGGGAGCAAACAGGAUUAGAUACCCUGGUAGUC
rnacentral:rRNA from 1 species